CAAAGUGUAGCUUAAUAUAAAGCACCUAGCUUACACCUAGAAGAUUUCAUGAUAAUGACCACUUUGA
rnacentral:tRNA from 2 species